rnacentral:lncRNA from 1 species
UUCUACAUCAGAUGGAGUGGUGGCCACGGUAGAUGAACCGAUCACAGCGAUAACACUUUGAUGGUAACUGAUCCAAUCAACAUCAAUAUCCGUCGCCAUCAUACAAUCCAGAGGUAGGGAUGGAACAUACUGCCUAUACCCGAACUGACGUAAACAUCUAUCAGGCAAGUCUGGAACAACUGUUUCACCCCACUUCAAAUAGCCCCUGUAAAGACAUAUCUCAUCAAAU